rnacentral:rRNA from 1 species
CCGAGGAGUCCUGGCCGUUCGCGAGUCGUAGGGGCCCCCUCUGACUAACCCCGAAGGCGAAGCGAAAGCGAGAGAGCGUGUAGGAGGGCGUCGAUCGGGAGAGGUGUCGUGGCGAAGUGGUCCGGGGGUCGUCGGGGUUAGUCGUCGGUCUUGUGCCGUCGUCUUCUCUCGCCUCACCCGCCUCCGAGCCGUGCCCGAUCCCGCCGGCGCGGCGUUCCGGCCUUCCGCCGUCGCUGCUGCGGGUCCGCACUUUUCCUCUUCGCGAGGAGAGGGAAGGCCCGUGGCUGGCGUGCGGUCGUUUUCCCUCCUCCCCGAGAGGGGACCGGCGUCUUACUAAACAGGGAAUUGCCGGGCGCCAGCUUCCAUCCUCCUUCCGCCCAUCGGUGAGAUCCCGCGGCUUGAACUAGUCCUAUUUUGUCGUCGAGUUUAGGCGCUGCGCGCGGGCGCAUCACCCCCGGGUCGGUUCCCCUUUUCCGAGUACGACUCGGCCGACUCUGGCGUAGCGAGCGACCAGGGACCCGAAAGAUGGCGAUCCACGCCCGGUCGGGAUGAAGCCAGAGGAAACUCUGGUGGAAGUCCGAAGCGCCUCUGACGUGCAAAUCGAUCGUCGGAACCGGGUGUAGGGGCGAAAGACCAAUCGAGCCGUCUA